UCCUUUACUGAAAUUAAAUUAUUUUGAUAACCUUAUUUUGGACUUGAAUCGGCGUAUUAAAGUGAGCUCUUACAAUAUUUGAUACAAAAUUAUUGUAGAGAUAUUUGCAUACGUUGCCAAGGUGAUCAGUUAUUGGAUGCGUUUCACGUGAUAGCUAGGUGUACUAGUUUAGUAAAACUUGGUGAAAGUAUUUUUGGUGUCUCUACUAUUUUGUUUGAAAAAUUUUUGGACCUGAUUGUGGUCAUUUGAGUAGAGUGACGUAUAUUCUGAUUUGUUUUGCAUAUUGGAUCAUUAAAUUUUGCCCAGAGGUGGCGUUAGAUUUUCCUUUAAAAGUGUGUUCGUGG
rnacentral:lncRNA from 1 species